GGGAACUUCGUUGUGCAGACCAGAGGCAUUCCCUUGCGAUCGAAAGCAGCUGUCCGAGUUAAUGCAUUUGUCGGUAGCGAGUAACCUUUGCUUGCCCAUGCUCCUCAGACUGACAAAGAAGCACCUCUUCAGCUGUAACUCUGUUGGAAUCCUUGCCAAAUGCAUAACCAUCCUAUUCUUCAUUUGUAACCGGCUCUACAGGCUCCCGGGGGUUAGCGUACUCAGCGUUCCCUUUCCCGAAACACUCUGAGCUGUCUUUUCGUGCUGCUUUUUUAUUUCCAUGUGAAAGGGUGGUAGCAACACGCGAGGCAUAGAAGGACGCUCGAACAAUAGUCUGCCUCUUCGUUGGUUUCGUGGGAAAGAGCGCAAGUGUGCGAGCGGCCAAUGUGAGCGAGUUAAAGGUGCUCUUUUAUCUGCACUGUCCCUCACGACGGUCAAGGCGAUCGUUCACUCUUGAUAAACCUUUUUCAUGGGUCUGGGGAUCACGAUUUCUCUAGGAGGGCAUUUGCUCGGCGUUAGCCGGCAAACAAAGCCCUCCUAAAUCUAAACCAGCAGUUUAAGUAGCAGUCUAUAUGGUGCAGAGAGGCUUAUAAGGAUGCCUGUGUCUCAGAGGUGAUUACUCGCUAUAUCUGUACACUUCACGUGGUCUCGAAAAGCACACUGGAACUUGAAUCCGGUAAACAAAGACCUUCAAGUUCUAAAUCGGAAGUCCAACUCGUACUUCUUCCCAG
rnacentral:lncRNA from 1 species